rnacentral:rRNA from 1 species
AUUGAACGCUGGCGGCAGGCCUAACACAUGCAAGUCGAAUGGUAACAGGAAACAGCUUGCUGUUUCGCUGACGAGUGGCGGACGGGUGAGUAAUGUCUGGGAAACUGCCUGAUGGAGGGGGAUAACUACUGGAAACGGUAGCUAAUACCGCAUAACGUCGCAAGACCAAAGAGGGGGACCUUCGGGCCUCUUGCCAUCAGAUGUGCCCAGAUGGGAUUAGCUAGUAGGUGGGGUAACGGCUCACCUAGGCGACGAUCCCUAGCUGGUCUGAGAGGAUGACCAGCCACACUGGAACUGAGACACGGUCCAGACUCCUACGGGAGGCAGCAGUGGGGAAUAUUGCACAAUGGGCGCAAGCCUGAUGCAGCCAUGCCGCGUGUAUGAAGAAGGCCUUCGGGUUGUAAAGUACUUUCAGCGGGGAGGAAGGGUGUAAAGUUAAUACCUUUGCUCAUUGACGUUACCCGCAGAAGAAGCACCGGCUAACUCCGUG